GCCCGCGUACCAACGCAGUUCUGCACCGUUUAAAAUCAACAGUUUGCCCGCGUAUCGUUCCCGCCUUCUAAGCGGGUAGCCGUAGUGGAUCAGGCAGGUUCGAUUCCUGCGGCGGGCUCCA
rnacentral:tRNA from 1 species